rnacentral:rRNA from 1 species
AACGACUCUCGGCAACGGAUAUCUCGGCUCUUGCAUCGAUGAAGAACGUAGCGAAAUGCGAUACUUGGUGUGAAUUGCAGAAUCCCGUGAACCAUCGAGUCUUUGAACGCAAGUUGCGCCCGACGCCGCUAGGCUGAAGGCACGCCUGCCUGGGCGUCACAC